rnacentral:rRNA from 1 species
ACGAACGCUGGCGGCGUGCCUAAUACAUGCAAGUUGCGCGAUGAAGAUUGGUGCUUGCCCCAAUUUGAAGAGCAGCGAACGGGUGAGUAACGCGUGGGGAAUCUGCCUUUGAGCGGGGGACAACAUUUGGAAACGAAUGCUAAUACCGCAUAACAACUUUAAACAUAAGUUUUAAGUUUGAAAGAUGCAAUUGCAUCACUCAAAGAUGAUCCCGCGUUGUAUUAGCUAGUUGGUGAGGUAAAGGCUCACCAAGGCGAUGAUACAUAGCCGACCUGAGAGGGUGAUCGGCCACAUUGGGACUGAGACACGGCCCAAACUCCUACGGGAGGCAGCAGUAGGGAAUCUUCGGCAAUGGACGAAAGGCUGACCGAGCAACGCCGCGUGAGUGAAGAAGGGUUUCGGAUCGUAAAACUCUGUUGGUAGAGAAGAACGUUGGUGAGAGUGGAAAGCUCAUCAAGUGACGGUAACUACCCAGAAAGGGACGGCUAACUACGUG